UGCGAAGGGGGCUAGCGUUGCUCGGAAUCACUGGGCGUAAAGCGCACGUAGGCGGAUUGUUAAGUCAGGGGUGAAAUCCUGGAGCUCAACUCCAGAACUGCCUUUGAUACUGGCAAUCUCGAGUCCGGGAGAGGUGAGUGGAACUGCGAGUGUAGAGGUGAAAUUCGUAGAUAUUCGCAAGAACACCAGUGGCGAAGGCGGCUCACUGGCCCGGUACUGACGCUGAGGUGCGAAAGCGUGGGGAGCAAACAGGG
rnacentral:rRNA from 1 species